AGCCUUUCAGCCGUAUCUGUGUUAAACAGGUGUUGGUAGCUUGACGAGUUUGUCUUAUUCACCUAUCUAUUUGAUUUCGGAUGCCGUAAAACAGAUGUCGGGAGCGGACGGUAUGUUUACUUUGAAUAAAUUUGAGUGCCCAAAACAGGACUUUGCGCCUAAAAAUUAUUGCAUGGAAUAAUGAGAUAGGACUUCAGUUCUAUUUUGUUGGUUUUCAGAUCCGAAGUAAUGGCUAAGACGGACAGACAAGGACAUUUUAUAAGGUGGUGUUAGAGGUGAAAUUCUAGGAUCGCUGCCAGACAAAUUACAGCAAAACCAUUUGCCAAGAAUGUUUUCAUUGAUCAGGAGCUAAAGUCAGAGUUUCGAAGAUGAUCAGAUAGCGUUAGUAUUCAUCUUCAAUUAUUCU
rnacentral:ncRNA from 1 species